CUAGACCUGAAAUCAGUCGAGGACACCCGCUGAAUUUAAGCAUAUUAUUAAGCGGAGGAAAAGAAAAUAACUAUGAUUCCCCUAGUAACGGCGAGUGAAGAGGGAGGUGCUCAAAGUGAAAAUCGUGGUACCUCUUAUGGUACCGCGAGUUGUAGCCUCUAGAGGCGUUACCAGUGGAGGGGCAGGUCUAAGUUUCUUGGAAC
rnacentral:rRNA from 1 species